rnacentral:rRNA from 1 species
UACGUAGGGUGCAAGCGUUGUCCGGAUUUAUUGGGCGUAAAGAGCUCGUAGGCGGUUUGGUAGGUCCGCUGUGAAAACUCGAGGCUCAACCUCGAGACGCCGGUGGAAACCAUCAGGCUAGAGUCCGGAAGAGGAGAGUGGAAUUCCUGGUGUAGCGGUGAAAUGCGCAGAUAUCAGGAAGAACACCCGUGGCUAAGGCGGCUCUCUAGUACGGUACUGACGCUGAGACGCGAAAGCGUGGGGAGCGAACAGG